rnacentral:tRNA from 2 species
GCCCGGAUGGCGGAAUUGGUAGACGCGCUGGUCUCAAACACCUGUGGGCAACCGUGCGGGUUCAAGUCCCGCUCCGGGUA